rnacentral:rRNA from 1 species
AUGCUCUGCUUCUUGAGCUUGCAGGUAACUAGAACUUGUGGAGCAGAGGAAAGUACCCGGAGUCACGUUCUCGUCAAACCAAUAGGAAGCAGUAAUCAUCCCUGUAAUGAAUAUGCACUCUUGGCGCGACAAAACCCCAAGGGAGAUGCGCCAUCAGUGGCAUCGAUUCUGCGGGAAAAGCAACCUCGGAGAUCACGUGAUGGGCCUAAUUCAGUCUAUGAAACGAUAAGGCGAUGGAAAGAAGUGAACCAACAACUGGAGCAUGAUCAAGAGGGUGCAGAGAGGGCGAGGAAGCCACCUGCAAAGGGUUCAAAGAAGGGUUGUAUGCAGGGGAAAGGAGGACCUGAGAAUACACAAUUUGGAUUCCGUGGUGUAAGGCAACGUACUUGCGGGGAAGCGGGUUGUUGA